GACGUAGGGCGCAAGCGUUGUCCGGAUUUAUUGGGCGUAAAGAGCUCGUAGGCGGCCUGUCGCGUCGAUCGUGAAAGUCCACGGCUCAACUGUGGGAUUGCGGUCGAUACGGGCAGGCUAGAGUGCGGCAGGGGAGACUGGAAUUCCUGGUGUAGCGGUGAAAUGCGCAGAUAUCAGGAGGAACACCGGUGGCGAAGGCGGGUCUCUGGGCCGUUACUGACGCUGAGGAGCGAAAGCGUGGGGAGCGAAC
rnacentral:rRNA from 1 species